GACGAACGCUGGCGGCGUGCUUAACACAUGCAAGUCGAACGGAAAGGCCUCUUUCGGGGGGUACACGAGUGGCGAACGGGUGUGUAACACGUGAGUAACCUGCCCUUUACCCUGGGUUAACUUCAGGAAACUGGGGCUAAUACCGUAUAUGAGCUCCCGCAGUAUUGUUGGGGUUGGAAAGUUUCGGUGGUUGGGGCUGGGGUCGCGGCUUAUCAGCUUGUUGGUUGGGUAGUGGUUUACCAAGGCUUUGACGGGUAGCCGGCCUGAGAGGGGUACCGGCCACAUUGGGACUGAGAUACGGACCAGACUCCUACGGGAGGCAACAGUGGAGAAUAUUGCACAAUGGGUGGGAGCCUGAUGCGGCAACGCCGUGUGCGUGAUGACGGGCUUCGGGUUGAAAACCGCUUUCACUCAUGACGGAGCAUUGUGUGACGGUAGUGGAUAAAGAAGCACCGGCUAACUACGUG
rnacentral:rRNA from 1 species